rnacentral:misc_RNA from 1 species
GCUUAUUUCUCGUUCACGAGAAAUAUUUUGCAAGGAAAGCCCAUCACGAUAUAUCGGGGCAAAAACCGGGUGGACUUGGCCCGUGAUUUUACCUUCAUCGAUGAUAUAGUUAAAGGUUGCCUGGGCUCUUUGGACACUGCGAGAAAGAGCACCGGGUCUGGCGGUAAAAAGCUAGGACCCGCACAAUAUCGGAUCUUCAAUUUGGGGAAUACGUCACCGGUUACGGUACCGAC